rnacentral:rRNA from 1 species
ACUCAAAUGAAUUGACGGGGGCCCGCACAAGCGGUGGAUCAUGUGGUUUAAUUCGAAGCAACGCGAAGAACCUUACCUGGGUUUGACAUCUCCGGCUACUCGUGGAGACACGAGGUGAGUAGCAAUACUCCCGGAAGACAGGUGCUGCAUGGCUGUCGUCAGCUCGUGUGGUGACAUGUUGGGUUAAGUCCCGCAACGAGCGCAACCCUUGUCCUUAGUUGCCAGCAUUCAGUUGGGCUCUCUAAGGAGACUGCCGUGGUUAACACGGAGGAAGGUGGGGAUGACGUCAAGUCCUCAUGGCCUUUAUAUCCAGGGCGACACACGUGAUACAAUGGACGGUACAGAGGGAAGCGAAGGAGCGAUCUGGAGCUAAUCUCAAAAAGCCGUUCUCAGUUCGGAUUGGAGUCUGCAACUCGACUCCAUGAAGUUGGAAUCGCUAGUAAUCGCGGAUCAGCACGCCGCGGUGAAUACGUUCCCGGGCCUUGUACACACCGCCCGU